GAUUUUGGUGAGAAGAGAUUAAGGUCUGUCAUGCCAGAGAUUUGCAUGAGCACUUCUUCAUUUCAUAUACAACACUUCAGUUUAACUUUUGAUGGGAAAGUAGAGCUCAGAGUGUCUGACCUAUUUAUCUCUUUUCUGUUUCUUUUUUUGAGAUAAAAUUGUCGUUUGGAUGAAUUGCACAUAACAGAGUAUGUGUGUUUGGUUACUGUGUCACUUUUGGUAAAUCAAAGAGAAAAAUCUUUUGUAAUCAGCUAGCCUUUAAUUUAAUAACGCUUUUGAUAAAUUGCUUGUAUACAAUAGGUUAUCAAACCCAAACAUUAAAGAUUUCAGUUUGACACUGCUGGAAUGAAUCAUACAGAUGGAAAAGGCCAAAUUCAUAGUUCGUUAUCUGGAGUAAAGAAAAAAAAAUCCUAUCAGUUUCAAGACUUGCAGUAAUGAAUGAAUAAAGAAUUUUAAAUCUGGCCUAAGGAAGUUAGAGAUAUGCUUGAAGCAUAACUGUUCAUUAGAACAGCAUUUACAAUUCCUUUACUAGAGAGUUUUAGCACACUGUGGAUCAUUGUUUAUUUUUUAUUGUAUACUACCAUUAAGAAAUACCUCCUUAUAUUCUUUUCCUUUUCCUUUCUUUUCCUAAUUUAUGUCCUUUUCUUGUAACUUGUUCAGCUUCCCACAUACACAACCCCCAUGCUGGAUCUGCUGCACUCCAAAGCAUGUGAGUGACAACAGGCUUGACAGCCCUUGGGGUGGUGAAAGAUCUGGCGAGAGCAAGCCUCCCCAGCAUGCUCAUCAGUCUUAAGCAAUCAUGUCUGUGAUCAUGCUGCUGAAAUAAGGAGAUUCUGAAAGACCAGCAGACUGAGAGACAGCUGAGAUGGUGCCAUGGCUAUUAGUCUCUAGGACUUUGCACCCGAAGUUUCCUUUGUUUCAUGGACUAUCUGUGGACUCCAAGCUUUCUUAGGAGGGGAAAAGAAGAACAGGAGAAGUCUGAGAAUUCUGUCAUAUCCUAAAANNNNNNNNNNNNNNNNNNNNNNNNNNNNNNNNNNNNNNNNNNNNNNNNNNNNNGAAGGGAAGGGAAGGGAAGGGAAGGGAAGGGAAGGGAAGGGAAGGGAAGGGAAGGGAAUUUCCAUAGAACUGAAAGGAUAUUUCUAUCUUGUUACUUUUUUCUUCAUUGCUCUGUCCCUAUUUUUGUUACCUCAUUAUAAACAGAUAAUUUUGUGUGAAUAA
rnacentral:lncRNA from 1 species